rnacentral:rRNA from 1 species
UACGUAGGGUGCAAGCGUUGUCCGGAUUUAUUGGGCGUAAAGAGCUCGUAGGCGGUUUGUCGCGUCGGAUGUGAAAACCCAGGGCUCAAUCCUGGGCCUGCAUUCGAUACGGGCAGACUAGAGUAUGGCAGGGGAGACUGGAAUUCCUGGUGUAGCGGUGAAAUGCGCAGAUAUCAGGAGGAACACCGGUGGCGAAGGCGGGUCUCUGGGCCAAAACUGACGCUGAGGAGCGAAAGCGUGGGGAGCGAACAGG